UGACAAUGGAAAUGCAGUGGCUUAUAAC
rnacentral:sRNA from 1 species